rnacentral:rRNA from 1 species
GAUGAACGCUGGCGGCGUGCCUAAUACAUGCAAGUCGAGCGAACAGACGAGGAGCUUGCUCCUCUGACGUUAGCGGCGGACGGGUGAGUAACACGUGGAUAACCUACCUAUAAGACUGGGAUAACUUCGGGAAACCGGAGCUAAUACCGGAUAAUAUAUUGAACCGCAUGGUUCAAUAGUGAAAGACGGUUUUGCUUUCCCUUAUAGAUGGAUCCGCGCCGCAUUAGCUAGUUGGUAAGGUAACGGCUUACCAAGGCAACGAUGCGUAGCCGACCUGAGAGGGUGAUCGGCCACACUGGAACUGAGACACGGUCCAGACUCCUACGGGAGGCAGCAGUAGGGAAUCUUCCGCAAUGGGCGAAAGCCUGACGGAGCAACGCCGCGUGAGUGAUGAAGGUCUUCGGAUCGUAAAACUCUGUUAUUAGGGAAGAACAAAUGUGUAAGUAACUAUGCACGUCUUGACGGUACCUAAUCAGAAAGCCACGGCUAACUACGUG